CCUCCUUAAAAUAAAAUCGUUUAUUUGUAGGCGUUCACACGAAUUACUUAUUUAUCUCUAUCUUAAAUUAGAUAAGAGAUGAGUUUUUUAACAUUUUUAUAAGUUCAAUCAAGUCAUAUCAAGAGCAUUUAUGUUCUAGAUAUGCAAAUUAAUUAUUCAUUAAAGGUUUUAUUAUUCUUUUAAUCCGAAACCUUAUUUGAAUAACUGCAAAGUAAUUUGGCGUUUUUUGUGUUUUUUAAAACACAAAUUGUGUUUUUUUAAACACAUAUAGUAGAUAGAAAUUCUUGAAAAUAUCAUUAAGUUAAUUGAUGUAAUAUGGUCAAGUAAUGAAGUGCAAACGGUGG
rnacentral:misc_RNA from 1 species